AAGAAGUAAUGUCCUUGCCUUCACAGAGGGGUGGUGGUUCUUCAUUUUCUGAAUUUUAUUUUUUAGGAGUUCCUUGAAUCAGUACAAGACUUGGAAUCUGGGACAAAGAAUCGGACAGCUGUCAAGAAAAAUAAUCUGCUGGCCUAUUGUAGCUUCAGUGAUAUGGCACUUCUGGAGAUGUUUGAGAUUGCAGAGAGGCACUUGAAAGGAAGGGAGUCCUGGUUGUGGGACUUGGGGCCUUUGCUGUGGUCCAAGAGCAAUUCCACAGCAAAGAAGGGGUGGCCAUGGUUCGAAGACCUGUCUUUCAUCUGGACAUCAGUGCACAGUGGCUGCAGGACUUCUGGUCUCCCACUGAGAUCAUCCCUGACGAUGUCAAGAUGGAGCCGCUGAACUACCGGCAGCUCUUGCAAGCUACCGCCAUCCUGC
ensembl:lncRNA